AGAGUUUGAUCCUGGCUCAGGAUGAACGCUGACAGAAUGCUUAACACAUGCAAGUCUACUUGAUCCUUCGGGUGAUGGUGGCGGACGGGUGAGUAACGCGUAAAGAACUUGCCCUGCAGUCUGGGACAACAUUUGGAAACGAAUGCUAAUACCGGAUAUUAUGUGAGUUUCGCAUGAAAUUCAUAUGAAAGCUAUAUGCGCUGCAGGAGAGCUUUGCGUCCUAUUAGCUAGUUGGUGAGGUAACGGCUCACCAAGGCGAUGAUAGGUAGCCGGCCUGAGAGGGUGAACGGCCACAAGGGGACUGAGACACGGCCCUUACUCCUACGGGAGGCAGCAGUGGGGAAUAUUGGACAAUGGACCAAAAGUCUGAUCCAGCAAUUCUGUGUGCACGAUGAAGUUUUUCGGAAUGUAAAGUGCUUUCAGUUGGGACGAAGUAAGUGACGGUACCAACAGAAGAAGCGACGGCUAAAUACGUGCCAGCAGCCGCGGUAAUACGUAUGUCGCAAGCGUUAUCCGGAUUUAUUGGGCGUAAAGCGCGUCUAGGCGGUUUGGUAAGUCUGAUGUGAAAAUGCGGGGCUCAACUCCGUAUUGCGUUGGAAACUGCCAAACUAGAGUACUGGAGAGGUGGGCGGAACUACAAGUGUAGAGGUGAAAUUCGUAGAUAUUUGUAGGAAUGCCGAUGGGGAAGCCAGCCCACUGGACAGAUACUGACGCUAAAGCGCGAAAGCGUGGGUAGCAAACAGGAUUAGAUACCCUGGUAGUCCACGCCGUAAACGAUGAUUACUAGGUG
rnacentral:rRNA from 1 species